rnacentral:rRNA from 1 species
GCCUUGUAAUUGGAAUGAUGGGAAUUUAAACCUCUUCCAGAGUAUCAAUUGGAGGGCAAGUCUGGUGCCAGCAGCCGCGGUAAUUCCAGCUCCAAUAGCGUAUAUUAAAAUUGUUGCAGUUAAAAAGCUCGUAGUUGAAUUUCUGCUGCAUCGCGUCUUCUUUUUGAUGAGUUGGCGUAUUGCGGCUUUUUUCGGAUGAUUUUUUUGUCCGGAUGAUUACUUUGAGAAAAUUAGAGUGCUCAAAGCAGGCUUUUGCCUUGAAUAGUUUAGCAUGGAAUAAUAAAGUAGGACUUUGGUUCUAUUUUGUUGGUUUUAGGUACCAAAGUAAUGGUUAAUAGGAACAGUUGGGGGCAUUCGUAUUUAACUGUCAGAGGUGAAAUUCUUAGAUUUGUUAAAGACGAACUACUGCGAAAGCAUUUGCCAAGGAUGUUUUCAUUAAUCAAGAACGAAAGUUAGGGGAUCGAAGACGAUCAGAUACCGUCGUAGUCCUAACCAUAAACUA